rnacentral:rRNA from 1 species
GGCUCAGAAUCAACGCUGGCGGCGUGCGUAACACAUGCAAGUCGAACGAGAAAGCGGGGGCAACUCCGUUAGUAAAGUGGCAGACGGGUGAGUAACACGUGAACAAUCUACCUUCGAGCGGGGAAUAACCCCGCGAAAGCGGGGCUAAUACCUCAUGAUAUCCCUGGAUCGCAUGGUCUGGGGAUCAAAGGCUUCGGUCGCUCGGAGAGGAGUUCGCGCCUGAUUAGCUAGUUGGUGAGGUAACGGCCCACCAAGGCAACGAUCAGUAGCCGGCCUGAGAGGGCGUACGGCCACACUGGAACUGAGACACGGUCCAGACUCCUACGGGAGGCAGCAGUGGGGAAUUUUGCGCAAUGGGCGAAAGCCUGACGCAGCAACGCCGCGUGGAGGAUGAAGGCCUUCGGGUCGUAAACUCCUGUCAGUGGGGACGAAUGCCGCGCAAGCGGUUUGACUGUACCCGCUGAGGAAGCCACGGCUAACUCCGUGCCAGCAGCCGCGGUAAUACGGAGGUGGCAAGCGUUGUUCGGAAUUAUUGGGCGUAAAGGGCGCGUAGGCGGCUUUGCAAGUCAGAUGUGAAAGCCCCGGGCUUAACUCGGGAAUUGCAUCUGAAACUGCUUAGCUUGAGUCCUGGAGGGGGUAGUGGAAUUCCCAGUGUAGCGGUGAAAUGCGUAGAUAUUGGGAGGAACACCUGCGGCGAAGGCGGCUACCUGGACAGUGACUGACGCUGAGGCGCGAAAGCUAGGGGAGCGAACGGGAUUAGAUACCCCGGUAGUCCUAGCCGUAAACGAUGGGCACUUGGUGUUGGGGGUAUUGAGUCCCCCGGUGCCGGAGUUAACACGUUAAGUGCCCCGCCUGGGGAGUACGG